rnacentral:rRNA from 1 species
UACACGACUCUCGGCAAUGGGUAUCUCGGCUCUCGCAUCGAUGAAGAAGCGCAGCGAAAUGCGAUACGUGGUGCGAAUUGCAGAAUCCCGCGAAC